rnacentral:rRNA from 1 species
UACGUAGGGUGCGAGCGUUAAUCGGAAUUACUGGGCGUAAAGCGUGCGCAGGCGGUUUUGUAAGCCGGGAUGUGAAAUCCCCGGGCUUAACCUGGGAAUGGCAUUUGGGACUGCAAGGCUGGAGUGUGGCAGAGGAGACUGGAAUUCCUGGUGUAGCAGUGAAAUGCGUAGAUAUCAGGAGGAAUACCGAUGGCGAAGGCAGGUCUCUGGCUGGACACUGACGCUCAUGCACGAAAGCGUGGGGAGC